rnacentral:rRNA from 1 species
GUUGAACGCUGGCGGCAGGCCUAACACAUGCAAGUCGAACGGUAGCACAGAGAGCUUGCUCUCGGGUGACGAGUGGCGGACGGGUGAGUAAUGUCUGGGAAACUGCCCGAUGGAGGGGGAUAACUACUGGAAACGGUAGCUAAUACCGCAUAACGUCGCAAGACCAAAGUGGGGGACCUUCGGGCCUCACACCAUCGGAUGUGCCCAGAUGGGAUUAGCUAGUAGGUGGGGUAAUGGCUCACCUAGGCGACGAUCCCUAGCUGGUCUGAGAGGGUGACCAGCCACACUGGAACUGAGACACGGUCCAGACUCCUACGGGAGGCAGCAGUGGGGAAUAUUACACAAUGGGCGCAAGCCUGAUGCAGCCAUGCCGCGGGUAUGAAGAAGGCCUUCGGGUUGUAAAGUACUUUCAGCGGGGAGGAAGGCGGUGAAGUUAAUAACUUCACCGAUUGACGUUACCCGCAGAAGAAGCACCGGCUAACUCCGUGCCAGCAGCCGCCGUAACAC